rfam:Camelus ferus unplaced genomic scaffold scaffold903, whole genome shotgun sequence.
GAGGGUAUAGCUCAGUGGUAGAGCGCGUGCUUGGCGUGCAGGAGGUCCUGGGCUGAAUCCCCAGUACCUCCA